rnacentral:rRNA from 1 species
AGUUACGACCAUAUCAACUUGAAAGCACCACACCCCGUCAGAUCUGUGAAGUUAAGCAAGUUAGAGCUUCGUUAGUAGUUUGGUGGGGGACCACAAGCGAAUACGAAGUGCCGUAGCUU